UGCUGAGCAACCUGAAGGUAUAUAUCGUUGACAUAUGGAUUGUCUUUGACAUUUUGCAUUUUAGCAUAACUGCUGCACACUUGUUGUAUGUUGAUGAAGUUUGGUUUUACAGUAUAAAAGCAAUGCGCAGUUUGUGAGGUGGUCGGAUGGCAGUUUGCAAUUGCUAAUUGGUAAUGAAGUUUGCAAUUCCUUCAACAUGGAAAGGCGAGGAUCUUAGCUUUGAAUGCCUCAUAUUUUUUGAAAAAUGGAGGUCAUUUUGUGAUAUCAAUUAAGGUAUGCUGCUAUCAAAUUUAUUCAACCUUGCUUUGUAGGAUGGGAGUUAAACUGCCUUCUAAAUGAAGAGUGUGGCACAAAUGUUCUCAAAUGCCCCCUGGCUUUUCUUUGUAAGAUAUGUUGAUUGGUGGACCAUUUUGAUGAGGGUUCAUUCCAAAAUUCUGAUGGACCAGACCUCAUCAUAAAAUGGACUGUCAAUAUGAAAAGAUCUACUGCAAUUCAAAUACAGCAAACAGAUUUUCAAAUAUCAGAAAUACUUGAUUAUUGUAAUUUUA